AUUGAACGCUAGCGGCAUGCUUAACACAUGCAAGUCGAACGAGUGGCGGACGGGUGAGUAAUAUAUGGGAACGUGCCCAGUAGCGGGGGAUAACUACGCGAAAGUGUGGCUAAUACCGCAUACCCUUGGAGCAGCCGAUAUCGGAUUAGAUAGUUGGUGGGGUAAAGGCUCACCAAGGCAACGAUCCGUAGCUGGUAUGAGAGGACGACCAGCCACACUGGGAUUGAGACACGGCCCAGACUCCUACGUGAGGAAGCAGUGGGGAAUUUUGGACAAUGGGGGAAACCCUGAUGCAGCCAUCCCGCGUGUAUGAGAAGGCCUUCGGGUUGUAAAGUACUUUCGGCAGAGAAGCGGUAUCUGCAGAAUAAGCACCGGCUAACUCCGUGCCAGCAGCCGCGGUAAUAC
rnacentral:rRNA from 1 species